rfam:Oryza sativa (indica cultivar-group) chromosome 4, whole genome shotgun sequence.
NUUAAAUGCAACUAUAAAUUUUCGUGUCUAACUUUGAUCGUUCGUCUUAUUUAAAAAUUUGUUAUAAUUAGUAUUUUUGUUGUUAUGAGAUGAUAAAACAUGAAUGGUACUUUAUGCAUGACUUAUGUUUUUAAAUUUUUUUAAUUUUUUUUUAAAUAAGACAGAUGAUUAAAGUUGAGUAUGAAAAAGUAUGGCUACACUUAAA